rnacentral:rRNA from 1 species
UACGGAGGGCGCAAGCGUUAUCCGGAUUCACUGGGUUUAAAGGGUGCGUAGGAGGGCAGGUAAGUCAGUGGUGAAAUCUCCAAGCUUAACUUGGAAACUGCCGUUGAUAUUAUCUGUCUUGAAUAUUGUGGAGGUGAGCGGAAUAUGUCAUGUAGCGGUGAAAUGCUUAGAUAUGACAUAGAACACCAAUUGCGAAGGCAGCUCACUACACAAUCAUUGACUCUGAGGCACGAAAGCGUGGGGAUCAAACAGG